UCUCUUUCUUUUGCUGACAGUUGCAAAAAGAAGAGGAACUGCAACUGCUACUGAAAUGGGUAGAGAAUUUCCCAUGUGCCUGUCCUCGUUGGCUGUGGGGCACAGAGGUGGAGCUCGUGAUCUAUGACCCCGACUACAUGAAACUGAUCUUGGGGCGGUCUGAUCCAAAGUCUGAGGGUUCCUACAGAUUCAUGGCUCCCUGGAUAGGGUAUGGUUUGCUCCUGUUGAAUGGGCAAACGUGGUUCCAACACCGGCGGAUGCUGACCCCAGCCUUCCAUUAUGACAUCCUGAAACCCUACGUGGGGCUCAUGGCCGACUCUGUCCAAGUGAUGCUGGUAAGUUCAAACCCUGCUCACCUCCACACUCACACCCACAGCACAAUUCACAGAGUCCACUCUCAGACAGCUGUGUCCCUCAGACAUCCAUUAGACAUGGAAUCACCCACUUAUACCAUACUACGAGACAGGGCUCCCUGAGGAUGGACGGAACACGAAAGCACCCAGGCACCUGCUUUCAUCCACUCUUUACUCAUUGCCCACAGAAGACACAGUCAUGGUGGAUAAAGAGUCCUUUCUCCUCCCACGUCCAUGGUUUUGGCUUGGACAGGAAGAGUAGUCAAUGCCCCUGGACAAUAGGACAAAGUGCCCCUGGCUGGCCUGGGCUGUGGCAGCUUCAG